UACGUAGGGUCCGAGCGUUGUCCGGAAUUACUGGGCGUAAAGAGCUCGUAGGUGGUUUGUCGCGUUGUUCGUGAAAACUCACAGCUCAACUGUGGGCGUGCGGGCGAUACGGGCAGACUGGAGUACUGCAGGGGAGACUGGAAUUCCUGGUGUAGCGGUGGAAUGCGCAGAUAUCAGGAGGAACACCGGUGGCGAAGGCGGCUUUCUGGACACUUACUGACGCUGAGACGCGAAAGCGUGGGGAGCAAACAGG
rnacentral:rRNA from 1 species